UGCUUCUUAGUGUAAUGGUAACAUAUUAGUUUUUGGAGCUAAAAUUAUAGGUUCAAAUCCUAUAGAAGCAA
rnacentral:tRNA from 1 species